rnacentral:miRNA from 1 species
UACAGAACCUCUGAGGCAU